rnacentral:tRNA from 1 species
UGGGGAUAUAGCUCAGUGGUAGAGUGCUUGCUUAGAAGGCAAGAGGCCUUGGGUUCAAUCCCCAGUAUCAUAA